rnacentral:rRNA from 1 species
UACGUAGGGGGCAAGCGUUGUCCGGAUUUAUUGGGCGUAAAGAGCGUGUAGGCGGCCAGACAAGUCCGUUGUGAAAACUGGAGGCUCAACCUUCAGAGGUCGACCGAAACCAUCUGGCUAGAGUCCGGGAGAGGAGAGUGGAAUUCCUGGUGUAGCGGUGAAAUGCGUAGAUAUCCGGAGGAACACCGGUGGCGAAGGCGGCUUCCUGGACCGACACUGACGCUGAGGCGCGAAAGCUAGGGGAGCAAACGGG